rnacentral:rRNA from 1 species
CCUACGGGAGGCAGCAGUGAGGAAUAUUGGUCAAUGGACGAGAGUCUGAACCAGCCAAGUAGCGUGAAGGAUGACUGCCCUAUGGGUUGUAAACUUCUUUUAUAUGGGAAUAAAAUGUUCCACGUGUGGGAUUUUGUAUGUACCAUAUGAAUAAGGAUCGACUAACUCCGUGCCAGCAGCCGCGGUAAUACGGAGGAUCCGAGCGUUAUCCGGAUUUAUUGGGUUUAAAGGGAGCGGAGGGGGAUUGUUAAGUCAGUUGUGAAAGUUUGCGGCUCAACCGUAAAAUUGCAGUUGAAACUGGCAGUCUUGAGUACAGUAGAGGUGGGCGGAAUUCGUGGUGUAGCGGUGAAAUGCUUAGAUAUCACGAAGAACUCCGAGUGCGAAGGCAGUUCACUGGACUGCAACUGACACUGAGGCUCGAAAGUGUGGGUAUCAAACAGGAUUAGAUACCCUGGUAGUC